rnacentral:lncRNA from 1 species
AAAUUCAUAUAUUCUAAAUUUUUUUAAAAGGCUGUUCGGUUAUUUAGGAUAAACAAGAAAAGUCGAAACCCAGUAAGUUAGGGCACGUUUUCUCGAAUUUCCUAAUACCAAAUAUUACCUUUAUUUUUAAACAAAUUCUUAUUUCGAGGUGACAAAAUGUCGUACCCAGUAAGUUAGGGCACAACACCUCGUGCUUCCGAAAAUAAGUGUUUUUUUCGUAUUGCGAUUUAAGAGGAUUAUAUCGUUAUUUAGAUUUAAACGAGGAAAACCGA